AUUGAACGCUGGCGGCAGGCCUAACACAUGCCAGUCGAGCGGAUGAAGGGAGCUUGCUCCUGGAUUCAGCGGCGGACGGGUGAGUAAUGCCUAGGAAUCUGCCUGGUGGUGGGGGAUAACGUCCGGAAACGGGCGCUAAUACCGCAUACGUCCUGAGGGAGAAAGUGGGGGAUCUUCGGACCUCACGCUAUCAGAUGAGCCUAGGUCGGAUUAGCUAGUUGGUGGGGUAAAGGCCUACCAAGGCGACGAUCCGUAACUGGUCUGAGAGGAUGAUCAGUCACACUGGAACUGAGACACGGUCCAGACUCCUACGGGAGGCAGCAGUGGGGAAUAUUGGACAAUGGGCGAAAGCCUGAUCCAGCCAUGCCGCGUGUGUGAAGAAGGUCUUCGGAUUGUAAAGCACUUUAAGUUGGGAGGAAGGGCAGUAAGUUAAUACCUUGCUGUUUUGACGUUACCAACAGAAUAAGCACCGGCUAACUUCGUG
rnacentral:rRNA from 1 species